GCUGCCGUAGCUCAAUAGGUAGAGCAAUUGAUUAGUAAUCAAUAGGUUGCAGGUUCGAUUCCUGUCGGUAGCCCCA
rnacentral:tRNA from 1 species